CUCGCGCGCUGCCUCUCCUCUUCCUCCCGCCCGCCUCUCUCUCUCCCUCCAAACCCUAACCCUAAACUGCGCCCGCCUUCCUGUCCCGCCGGCCGCCGCCGUCGCUCGCCCAGGCACCCGCCCCGCACUCGGCGCCGGCGCCGUCGCCCCCUCUCCUCUUCCUCCCGCCCGUGCCUCACCGCGGCUUCCUCCCGGCUCCUCGUCCGCGGCCUCGACGGCGGCCCCGUGCUCUACCUCGAGGCGCGCCACGCUGGCCGGGUGCGCUACGUGCUCUCCUGGGACGCCAGCCGCCGCAUCUGCGUCUUCACCGAGAACGGCAUGCGUCCGUCACCCGUGCGGAUAGGACUCCUCCUCUUCCCUAUCUCGGGGGCGCGGAGAUGCUAACGGAGAAGCCCAGCUGGGUUCGCCAUGACGGCCUGCAGAUCUUCUCCAUCAACAUCCAGCCGAGUGGCCUCCGCUUCGCCACGGGAGGUGGUGACCAGAAGGAGGCAGAGAGGGAGAUGGGGUGGUAAGAAGAGAGGGUGAGGAAGGAGGAAGAGGAGAUCCUCCCAGCACUCAUGGUGGUCGCCCAGAUCCCAGCGGGGAUGGCAGUCCAACAUGCUCUGUGGUGUUCUAAAGUGUAAACUGCUAGCAGAGCUACACUGCGGACUACAGAGUUGAUCUGAAUGUCUGCUAUUCUAAGGUUCAAUAUAUGAUUCUUUCUGUCAGCGUUCUUCCUUGGAAACAAAAUGAUCAAAUCAUCUUCUUGGAUGCAUGUGUGGCUUGAUUAUGAAAUUAUGGUUAUGAACACAAAGCUAAUUGGUACUCUGUUCUACACUACUCUCCCUUGGAACAUGAUCUCGCAAAAGAGGGGAAGCCAAACAUAGAUGGAACCAAAAAUCUUCGGAACCUGACAGCAUUCAUUUUUUCUCCUGGGUGCUGCUAGAUCCUGUGUAACUAAAUGUUCUUUUCCAUUUAAGGGGAACCAUGCCCAUGCGACGGUACUGAACAAAGUUGUGCACGUGGUCGUGGACACUCUACGCGAAAGAAAUUUGUAUAAAUAUACAAUGCUCUUUUUGAAGCCUCCUGGGAUGAUAUUGGAAGGAACUCGAGCGGAAGGCCGCCGGACAUGGAAGAAAUGAGCCCAAGCCCAAUGUAACUUUUCUCUCUCUGAAGCAAUGCCUAUUUAUUGCUUUUGUGUUGGUACUUUCAGUUCUUUGAGAUUCUUAUUUGUGCAAAAACAUCGGUGAUGUGGCAGAGAAGGUGAAUUGUAGCAGCAACGUGAAAGUAUGUACAUAACAAUUUGUUGGAAAUAUGCCCUAGAGGCAAUAA